AAGAAUGGCUUUCAUUUCUUGAACUCAUAUCAACAAGGCAACUACAAAUCAUGUGUGUGUAGAGGAUCUGUAUAUGACAUAUGUGAAGAGCUCAUGGAGGCUGAAGGAGGGUAUCAGAUGUCCCUGGAGCUGUCAUGACAGGUGGUUGUGGACAACGCGAAGUCCCUGUUAGAAGCCAAAUUUGAGCCCUCUGGAAGAACAGUAUGCACUUUUAACUAUUACCAGUUUUCUAAGCAUUCUUUAAACCAAAUUGUGGAUUGAAUUCAUGAACAUGAUUAUGAAACAUCAUUUGACUGAGGAAGUGGAUAUGGAAGCAGAAGAGCAUUCUACCAACAAGAAUGUGAAAUGUAGAGAAAGAAAAAAAUAUCAGUAGAAAACUGAUGGAAAGGCAUAAGACAUUUAGACCCUGGUUAUUCAGAAAGAAUUACGAAACUGCUGACUUCCAACCAAGUCUUGCAAUUAAAUUAGCACACCACCCUGCAUGGGAAAAUGGGCACAAACCAAGCUGUGUUCUUAGCCUAAGCAAUGGCAUAGGAAUUUGAAUGCAUUGUGGUUGGCAGAAACCAGGCACCUGAUGGGACUGGAGAUUAGUGUAUAAGAUGGAGCUGGCAAUGAGAAGACUCAACUAUCACCGUGUU